rnacentral:rRNA from 1 species
AGUCGAGCGGGGUUGUUUAGAAGCUUGCUUCUAAACAACCUAGCGGCGGACGGGUGAGUAACACGUAGGCAACCUGCCCACAAGACAGGGAUAACUACCGGAAACGGUAGCUAAUACCCGAUACAUCCUUUUCCUGCAUGGGAGAGGGAGGAAAGACGGAGCAAUCUGUCACUUGUGGAUGGGCCUGCGGCGCAUUAGCUAGUUGGUGGGGUAAAGGCCUACCAAGGCGACGAUGCGUAGCCGACCUGAGAGGGUGAUCGGCCACACUGGGACUGAGACACGGCCCAGACUCCUACGGGAGGCAGCAGUAGGGAAUCUUCCGCAAUGGGCGAAAGCCUGACGGAGCAACGCCGCGUGAGUGAUGAAGGUUUUCGGAUCGUAAAGCUCUGUUGCCAGGGAAGAACGUCUUGUAGAGUAACUGCUACAAGAGUGACGGUACCUGAGAAGAAAGCCCCGGCUAACUACGUGCCAGCAGCCGCGGUAAUACGUAGGGGGCAAGCGUUGUCCGGAAUUAUUGGGCGUAAAGCGCGCGCAGGCGGCUCUUUAAGUCUGGUGUUUAAUCCCGAGGCUCAACUUCGGGUCGCACUGGAAACUGGGGAGCUUGAGUGCAGAAGAGGAGAGUGGAAUUCCACGUGUAGCGGUGAAAUGCGUAGAGAUGUGGAGGAACACCAGUGGCGAAGGCGACUCUCUGGGCUGUAACUGACGCUGAGGCGCGAAAGCGUGGG